rnacentral:rRNA from 1 species
UCUAGAGCUAAUACAUGCAGCAGAGCUCCGACCUUCGGGGACGAGCGCUUUUAUUAGACCAAAACCAAUCGGACCUCGUGUCCGUCCUUUGUGGUGACUCUGUAUAACUUUGGGCUGAUCGCACGGGCCUGUCCCGGCGACGUAUCUUUCAAGUGUCUGCCUUAUCAACUUUCGAUGGUAGGUUACGCGCCUACCAUGGUCGUAACGGGUAACGGGGAAUCAGGGUUCGAUUCCGGAGAGGGAGCCUGAGAAACGGCUACCACAUCCAAGGAAGGCAGCAGGCGCGCAAAUUACCCACUCCCAGAACGGGGAGGUAGUGACGAAAAAUAACAAUACGGGACUCUUUUGAGACCCCGUAAUUGGAAUGAGUACACUCUAAAUCCUUUAACGAGGAUCCAUUGGAGGGUAAGUCUGGUGCCAGCAACCGCGGUAAUUCCAGCUCCAAUAGCGUAUAUUAAAGUUGUUGCGGUUAAAAAGCUCGUAGUUGGAUCUCAGUUCCAGACGGGUGGUCCGCCUACCGGUGGUUACUGCCUGUUCUGAACAGUCAGCCGGUUUCUCUUGAUGAUCUUCACCGGUUGUCUUGGGUGACCGGCAAGUUUACUUUGAAAAAAUUAGAGUGCUCAAAGCAGGCGUGACGCCUGAAUAAUGGUGCAUGGAAUAAUGGAAUAGGACCUCGGUUCUAUUUUGUUGGUUUUCGGAACACGAGGUAAUGAUUAAGAGGGACAGACGGGGGCAUUCGUAUUGCGACGCUAGAGGUGAAAUUCUUGGACCGUCGCAAGACGAACUACUGCGAAAGCAUUUGCCAAGAAUGUUUCCAUUAAUCAAGAACGAAAGUUAGAGGUUCGAAGGCGAUCAGAUACCGCCCUAGUUCUAACCAUAAACGAUGCCAGCCAGCGAUCCGGCUGUGUUCCUCAAAUGACACGCCGGGCAGCUUCCGGGAAACCAAAGCUUUUGGGUUCCGGGGGAAGUAUGGUUGCAAAGCUGAAACUUAAAGGAAUUGACGGAAGGGCACCACCAGGAUUGGAGCUUGCGGUUUAAUUUGACUCAACACGGGACAACCUACCCGGCCCGGACACAGGAAGGAUUGACAGAUUAAGAGCUCUUUCUUGAUUCUGUGGGUGGUGGUGCAUGGCCGUUCUU